rnacentral:rRNA from 1 species
CGGACGGGUGAGUAAUGUCUGGGAAACUGCCCGAUGGAGGGGGAUAACUACUAGAAACGGUAGCUAAUACCGCAUAACGUCGCAAGACCAAAGAGGGGGACCUUAGGGCCUCUUGCCAUCGGAUGUGCCCAGAUGGGAUUAGCUAGUAGGUGGGGUAAUGGCUCACCUAGGCGACGAUCCCUAGCUGGUCUGAGAGGAUGACCAGCCACACUGGAACUGAGACACGGUCCAG